GCGCCGGGCGCAGACUGGCUCAGUGUGCCAACGUCACCAUCAGGACGUCCCGGCGGCUGCCCAUGCAGAUUGACGGCGAGCCCUGGAUGCAGCCCCCCUGCACGGUCAGGAUCACACACAAGAACCAGGUCCCCAUUUUACUGGGCCCGCCGCAGAAGACCCCGUU